rnacentral:rRNA from 1 species
UACGUAGGGGGCAAGCGUUGUCCGGAUUUAUUGGGCGUAAAGAGCGUGUAGGCGGCCAGAUAGGUCAGCUGUGAAAACUCGAGGCUCAACCUCGAGACGUCGGUUGAAACCAUCUGGCUAGAGUCCGGAAGAGGAGAGUGGAAUUCCCGGUGUAGCGGUGAAAUGCGCAGAUAUCGGGAAGAACACCUAUGGCGAAGGCAGCUCUCUGGGACGGUACUGACGCUGAGACGCGAAAGCGUGGGGAGCGAACAGG